rnacentral:rRNA from 1 species
CCUACGGGAGGCAGCAGUAAGGAAUAUUGGACAAUGGUGGCAACACUGAUCCAGCCAUGCCGCGUGCAGGAUGACGGCCCUAUGGGUUGUAAACUGCUUUUGUACGGGAAAAAACCCUCGUUCGUGAACGAGGCUGAUGGUACCGUAAGAAUAAGGAUCGGCUAACUCCGUGCCAGCAGCCGCGGUAAUACGGAGGAUCCAAGCGUUAUCCGGAUUUAUUGGGUUUAAAGGGUGCGUAGGCGGAUUAAUAAGUCAGUGGUGAAAGCCUACAGCUUAACUGUAGAAUUGCCAUUGAUACUGUUAGUCUUGAGUAUAUUUGAAGUGGGCGGAAUGUGCAGUGUAGCGGUGAAAUGCUUAGAUAUUGCACAGAACACCGAUUGCGAAGGCAGCUCACUAAACUAUAACUGACGCUGAGGCACGAAAGUAUGGGGAUCAAACAGGAUUAGAUACCCUGGUAGUCCAUACAGUAAACGUUGAUUACUCGAUGUGUGCGAUACACUGUACGCGUCUAAGCGAAAGCAAUAAGUAAUCCACCUGGGGAGUACGCUCGCAAGAGUGAAACUCAAAUGAAUUGACGG